rnacentral:tRNA from 1 species
UAGCCCUGGCAGGCUGCAGCCCUGAAAAGGCUGGCGUCGGCGGUUCGAUUCCGUCCCUGGCCA